rnacentral:rRNA from 1 species
AGCAGCCGCGGUAAUUCUAGCUCCAAUAGCGUAUAUUAAAGUUGUUGCAGUUAAAAAGCUCGUAGUUGAAUUUCGGAAUCAAUAUAUCGGUCGUGCCUCUGGUACGCACUUAUUUAUUGAUUUCUCACUUCUGACGAAUCAUAAUGUCAUUAGUUUGGUGUUAUGAGGAAUCAGGACUGUUACUUUGAAAAAUUAGAGUGUUUAAAGCAGGCUCGCGCUUGAAUACAUUAGCAUGGAAUAAUGAAAUAGGAUGUUUGAUCUUAUUUUGUUGGUUUCUAGGAUCGACAUAAUGAUUAAUAGGGAUAGUUGGGGGCAUUAGUAUUCAAUUGUCAGAGGUGAAAUUCUUGGAUUUAUUGAAGACUAACUACUGCGAAAGCAUUUGCCAAGGAUGUUUUCAUUAAUCAAGAACGAAAGUUAGGGGAUCGAAGACGAUCAGAUACCGUCGUAGCC